GGCCGGAUGGUCAAGCGGUUAAGACACCGCCCUUUCACGGCGGUAUCGGGGUUCGAUUCCCCCUCCGGUCACCA
rnacentral:tRNA from 1 species